GUGCUCGCUUCAGCAGCACAGAUCCUAAAGUUGGAACGAUAUAGAGAAGAUUAGCAUGGCCCCUGCGCAAGGAAUAGAGAAAGGUAGAAAACCUAGUAUUAUAU
ensembl:snRNA U6 U6 spliceosomal RNA